GAUCCUGGCUCAGGACGAACGCUGGCGGCGUGCUUAACACAUGCAAGUCGAACGGAGCUUGAAUUGACAUUUAUGCCGAUACAAGCUUAGUGGCGAACUGGUGAGUAACGCGUAAGCAAUCUGCCUUUUAGAGGGGGAUAACGUUUGGAAACGAACGCUAAUACCGCAUAAAGUAACAUGUCCGCAUGGACGAGUUACCAAAGGAGCAAUCCGCUGAGAGAUGAGCUUGCGUCCGAUUAG
rnacentral:rRNA from 1 species